UUCCAUUCAUGAAGCAUGCAUCUUGAUCCACCAUCAUAUGAACUAGCGGCUGUGAUUGGCUACAUACAUGGCCAUGCUGGUGUAUGCAGUGUAGACAAUAAUUUCUCAUGAAGAGAAGGUUUGGGCAUCUAUGGUGUGUAACCUUAGCUUGAUGCAAAACCGAAUUUGUCUGGGCUCAUUUUCUGCUCUUGACAGAGAAUAUCUAUUACUCAAUAAGAAAGUCAAACCCCACAAUUUUGGUAAACUAACAUGCACUUGGAACCAAAAAAUAUCAUCUCCAUCUAUCUAGAAACUGCACUCUAGAUGAAACUUGGAAUUGUAUCCAACUGUGACUAUAAAUAUUUUUAGGUUGUGCCCAAUGCAAGAAAGUACCUACACCAAGCCUAAUUUGCAUCCAACUAUGUCCAGAGCGUAUUUACGCAAUUCCCAUACAUGUUAUAACUACUACAAGCCAUCCAAAAAUAGAUGUUGAAUCAUUCCAUAUCAUCCCUAACUAUGGCUUGUCAGAUUGACCUACUCAAAA
rnacentral:lncRNA from 1 species